rnacentral:miRNA from 1 species
CAGUCAUGCCGCUUGCCUACG